CCAGAAAACAACAGAAAUCACAUUGUGGUGUGAAGCAGAUUAAAGUCGACAGCAAAACAUCUCCUGAUUUAACUCCACAUAUCCGAAACCAACUCUGCAACUAUGCCCCAACAACUGGCAGCCCACCUGCGUACCCAACGUGUGCUAAGGCUGCAUUACUGUAGCAUGGUUCCACUAUCUACUUGACUCGUAGUCCCAAAAAAUGCCCCAAGACCUUUGCUUGCCCAUCUUGGAUGCAGAUAUUACCAACAAUGUAUAAAUAUAAAAAAAAAUUUUGUUUGGUGUAAUUGAUUUGCAUGCUAGAAUAUUUUUUCGAAAGGUUAUAGUUGCUAUUAGUUCUGUCAGACAGAAUGCAAAUAUUAUGUGGCGAAAAAGUUGGUCAUUUUUUUACCUGAAAUUUAGUACGAUGAAAAAAAUUGUUAACCAAUUUUGUUGUAUUGUAUAUGAGAUAUAAAACAAUAACAUGGGGCCUUUUUAACCACUUUCAACCUUGAUCCACCCCUUACGUUCUUACCUUUCAGAUUAUAAACCAGAGACAUUUACACAUCGUGACUGUUAAUCAGAGAGACCUCAAAUUACGCUAAAAGGAACUUGUGUUAAAUACUUAAAACAUAACUUAUCUUUUGUGUUUAUUCAAGAGUAUAUUUCAUUUUAAUCAGUUAAUUAUUAAUUGAAAAACUUAUUUUGAAGAAGUUCCACUUUCUUAAUGCCAUACAGAGCUUCAGGUAAUAUAUUAAAUACCGUCAUGAUGACAACUGUGAUGUUAUUCACUGUUAAACUACAAUCUGCAUUUGGUUUAAAAAAAUUCUCCAGUGAAAUAACAGCUGUUCUUUUUGAGUAAAAUAUCCAUGAUAACACUUAUGACACAUUUAUACUCACUCAUUAACUCUCAUUAUAGCCUAAAGCCAUAUCUCAUCAGUGGACAUAAUUUGUCUGUUGGAGUGUGUGCCCAGCAUUGACAUUCAGGCUCUGUCGGUGCUUUUUAAUUAUUGGAAAAAUACUUUUUAAUAAAUACGACACAGGAUAUUGUGGAAUUUAAUGUUUUGAUUAAUUGGAUUUGGUGGUUAUAUUACAGUGUGGAUGCCCAGAGACAAAUGUGGCAUUUACUGGAAAAGCUUGGUAGUCAACUGCCCGAGUCAAGAAAAAGAAAUGAUAUAAUGAUAUAAAUACAAAUAGAUACAUAAGCGUAUGCAUUAGAUACAUUUUGACGUUGAGAAUUUUACACAACCCCUCUUUUUAUCUCUCACCAUAAGGCUACCGGUGCCUCCACUGAGUGUGAGACCUGAGAUCCUCAUGACAUGUUGCAAAGCUCCCGUGAGACAGAAUUUGUAUCCUGAAUUAUGAAGUGGGGAACCAUUACUGGACAAACAUCUGCCUGUGAAAAUUGGAGCCGGACAGUAGGUAUUGUAAAAUCGAAAACAGAGACAACUCUAAUGUGAAAUAACGAAAAAGAGACAGCUGAAGAAUGGAAAAGCGUUUGAAGCCAGACAGACUGAUGGAGGGAGAAAAUACAAUUCUACAAAUCUGUAUCAGUGAGUGAUUAAUUAAUUUCUGUUGAAUGAUCUGUUCUAGCCUUGCGAGAUAUCAGUUCCCAUUUCUUUUACACUUUUACAGAAGAUCUCAAGAGACCGCCAGUUCAAAAGACGGUUCAAUUUAGAGUUCCCAUCGGAAAUGGUUUCAGAAAGACUUUGCCAUACGUUGGGCUUUGAUGUGUUUUAACUGUCAUAAUCUCACUGUUCUGAGAUGGGGAAAAUAAAUUCUGUUCAUUUUU